rnacentral:rRNA from 1 species
UACGUAGGGGGCGAGCGUUGUCCGGAGUUACUGGGCGUAAAGCGCUUGUAGGCGGUCCACCAAGUUUGGGGUGACAGUUGCCGACUUAAUCGGCAAAGUGCCUCAAAGACUGGCGGACUUGAGGGCCACAGAGGGACAUGGAACUCCAGGUGUAGUGGUGAAAUGCGUAGAUAUCUGAAAGAACACCAAAGGCGAAGGCAGUGUCCUGGGUGGUCGCUGACGCUGAGAGGCGAAAGCCAGGGGAGCGAACGGG